ACGAAACGCUGGCGGCGUGCAUAAACACAUGCAAGUCACGGGGGCCCGCAAGGGCAACCGGCGAAACGGGUGCGUAACACGUGACCAAACCUGCCCUUGUGUUGGGGGGAUAGCCGGGCUAACGCCCGGGUUAAUACCGCAUACGAUCCUUUGGGGGAGUCCCUGGGGGAAGAAAGCUCUGGCGCACGAGGAGGGGGGUCGCGGCCUAUCAGCUAGUUGGCGAGGGUAAUGGCUCACCAAGGCGACGACGGGUAGCUGGUCUGAGAGGAUGGGCCAGCCACAUUGGGGACUGAGAGACGGCCCAGGACUCCUACGGGAGGCAGCAGUGGGGAAUCUUGCGCAAUGGCCCGAAAGGCUUGACGCAGCGACCGCCGCGUGUUGGGAGGGACGGCCUUUCGGGGGUGUAAACCACUGUUGCCCGGGACGAACUGCCGAUUUCGAUCGGCUUGACGGUACCGGGUGAGGAAGCACCGGCUAACUCCGUGCCAGGCAGCCGCGGUAAUACGGAGGGGUGCGAGCGUUGUCCGGAAUCAUUGGGCGUAAAGGGGCGCGUAGGGUGGCCUGGGUCAGUUCGUGGUGAAAAGCGCGGGGCUCAACUCCGCGUCGGCCAUGAAUACUGCUGGGCUGGAGCACUGUAGAGGGCAGGCGGAAUUUCCGGGUUGUAGCGGUGGAAUGCGUAGAGAUCCGGAAAGAAACACCGGUGGCGAAGGCGGCCUGCUGGGCAGUGGCUGACACUGAGGGCGCGACAGCGUUGGGGAGCAAACAGGAUUAGAUACCCUGGUAGUCCACGCCGGUAAAACGAUGGGGCACUAGGCGCUUGGGGGAGCGAACCCUCCGAGGGCCGGCGGCUAACGCAUUAAGUGCCCCGCCUGGGGAGUACGGCCGCAAGGCCUGAAACUCAAAGGAAUUGACGGGGGCCCGCACAAGCGGUGGAGCAAUGUGGUUUUAAUUUCGACGCAAACGCGAAGAAAACCCUUACCUAGGCUUGACAUGCAGGAGAAACCUCUCAGAAAACGGGAGGCCCUCUUUCGGAGUUUCCUGCACAGGUGCUGCAUGGCUGUCGUCAGCUCGUGUCGUGAGAUGUUGGGUUAAGUCCCCGCAACGAGCGCAACCCCCCGUUCCUAGUUGCCCAGCGCGCGUCAUGGCGGGGACCUCUAGGGAGACUGCCGGUGCCAAAACCGGAGGAGGGUGGGGGACGACGUCAAGUCAUCAUGGUCCUUACGUCUAGGGCUACACCACGUGCUACAAAUGGCGGGGACAGAGGGCUGCGAGCCGGCAACGGCAAGGCCAAUCCCGGAAAACCCCGCCUCAGUUCGGAUUGUCGUCUGCAAACUCGACGGCAUGAAGCUGGAAUCGCUAGUAAUCGUGGAUCAGCUACGCCACGGUGAAUACGUUCCCGGGCCUUGUACACACCGCCCCGUUCACGCCAUGGAAGCUGUGAGCGCCCGAAGUCCGUGUCGAAACCCGCAAGGGAUCAAGCGGCCGAAGGCGAGCGCAGUGAACUGGGGCG
rnacentral:rRNA from 1 species